AAAAAGAUGACUAUUUAGUCCUUACGGCAUAACUAUGUAAGUAUGAUUUAGAUAAACAGUAUAUACCAAAAUGAAGUUUAGAUUAUAUUUAAGCAUUCUAAUUGCUGCUAUUGCCUUGUUAAAACAGAAUCCACAAAAAGUAUUUGCGAUACCCAUCUAUAAUAUUCUUUGACCAAAGCUAGACCCUGACAUGUGCAGUUCUUUAUAUUGGUACUAAUAACACAAAAUAUGGAAGACAAAUAUUUCACUCGAUAGUACUAUCCACUCUAAAGUCACCAUCCCAUGAUGAACAGGAGAAUAACCAUUUUCAGGAAAACACUGAAGUGGCAUGCUCAGAACCCCACUGCAAUGACAGCUGCAUUUUUCAGGUUCUGUCAGCAAAUACUUACUGUAAAAGUUUCUUUUCAUUGCCAAGAUAUACCCAUUAGUGUGAGAACAUGUGAUGCUGUCCCCUAAACAGAGCCUUCUCAAAGACGGUCUCAAACAGUAGUAGUAAAAAGGGAGUUACUCACAUUCUGUAGUAACAGGUUCUUUAAGAUGGUUUUCCCUGUGCGUACUCCAUCUUAAGUAUUUGGGUGUCACUGCGUGCCUAGUCAGAGAUUUUGGUAGCAGUGCCUUCCGUUAGGCUGUGCACACAAAGUAGAUGGUAUAGGCGGUACCCGCUAAUAAACAUGUGCGACCAACUGUCCCCUCCGUUCCUUCUCUGCCCCAGAAGAUAACUAUGUCCAAAGCAGAGGGAGGAAGGGCAGGUGGUGGAGCAUCCACAAAGACAACCAAUCUCGAAGAACCUCUGUUACUGCACAAGACAGCCAUCAAGGUAAGGGAAUACGGACAACUCUUGUUUGCAGAGAUGCGCAGCGACCACCAUGAGCACCUUUAAGAUGACCGCCUGGAGCUGUAGAGAGUCCGAAUGGCAACACCGUGUACUAGAAGUGGGAAUCGCUCACCACGAAUCUUAGGGAGACGUCAGCCACCCUCUUGUAUAGCUCCUGGAAUGAUCAAAAGUCAUCUCCCACUGCAGGAGGAGGGGGCAUCAAAGCAGCAUCGGGGAGGACAAUGAGAUGUGCACUGAAAGUUAAGACACAGGAGAAUCUUUGUCGCUCGAGGCUGGCUCAUCCUCUUCCCAGCAAGCUGACCUGUUUAUGCAAGGCGAGGAGGUGUGCCUUGAUGGUGCGGACGGAGAUGGCUGAGGCUGAACCUGUUGUGGCUGCUGGACUCGGUUUGGUGCCCAGGGGUCCCAGUAGGGCCAAGUUGGCAGAUAGUGUCACAGGAGGCAGCAAUUGAGGUGGUUGCCAUUGCAGCAGUGGCUGUUGCUGCUGCAGAUGCUUUGGAGAGGAGCUUUUUGGGGUGUGAGUACCAACCACGAGCUCAUCGUCCUCAUUGCUCAAGAGCGGCGCUGCCAACUCUACAGGAGUAGACAGCGUGAACGUGCCCAACAUGGGUGUACUGUCGGUGCUGAACAAUUUGGUUAUAGGCACCAAAGUUACCCUUAGCUCCUCUGAAGUAGAAAAAGGCUACAGUGCCAGGGUCGCCAGUGCUGGCAGCAGCAUGGAGGGUGUUACAGCCGCAAUCUGCAGUGCCAUCAUUGCCGUAUGGGAGGCCACAUGUUUGAGACACUUCAGUGCCGGAGGUGGCAUAGGUGCUGACGAUGCCGAGCAAGGCUUGGCUUUCUUGAGUGCUGAUGGUGCCUCAGAAGAGGCUGAUUUGGCCUUUGCCUUCGUCAGCACAGAGACGGAUUCAGAUGGUGCCAGUGGCGCCAAUUUAGAUUUAGGCUUCUCUGGAAGCCUGUCUUGCUAAGAUCAUUGCACCUCCAGGAGCCAUCAAUGCCUAACGGUCAUGGUACCUCCCUGUCCAGUGCAGGGGGUAUUUCACAGGUGUUUGCCCCCGCAUUUCUGCAGUGGAGUCACCUUUACUUGAGGAGUGAGAUCUUUUCUUGGGUUGUUCUGAGGAACAGUCGCUGGAGCUACUGCCUCGCACAUGGCAAGUGGGGAGGACUGCCAAGGUGGGAUAGAGUACUCCAGAUCCAAAGCUGGCUUCACCUGUUUUCAAGGAAAAGGAGUUUAAGCUGGAGCUCCCUUGCUUUGUGCGUGCAGGCCAUUAGCUGCUUCCAGUGUUGGCACUGGGCAGUGGUGUGUGCCUGCCCCAGGCACCAGACACACUGAGUGCCCAGAAAUAGGAAUUGAAAGUCUGCAGGACAGGCAGCGUUUGAAUCCUGAGAGAUCUGUCAUCCCAAGAAGCAAAUUAUUUUGCUAAGGCUAACAGCCUUAACAAUAAAAGUUCUUUUUUAUUUUGUGGGUUUUUUAAGCAACAAUUAACAGUAACUAGAAAAACUACUAACUAUGAAAACUAUUACUAACACUGUGCUAAUUGUAUUAACAGGAACAAGUUUGAAAUUUUGGCAAAAAGCUAGAAAGCAACUGCCAUUCCGACAGAUGCCGGCAGCACCAGAGAAGGAACUGAGGAGAUGGUUGGCUGUGCAUACGUAAUAGCGGCACCACGCAUAUCAUCUACUCUGUAUCAUAUGUAGUCAAGGAUUCAAUGAAGAGGUGCUAAAUAUGGUUCAAUGUGGUUUGAAGAGCACCAGGAUGUGAACCUUUACCAUUUCGAGAGGCAAGUAGCUUGUGUGUUGUAUGUUCUGCUAUGGAACAGGAUUUCUUUGACCUGCACUGAGCACUGACCUCGGAUGCGUUGAGCCAAUUAGGAGCCAGGCUGUCAGGUGGAAGGCUGAGGGUGCAGAAGGGACUCCUGGUCCUGGGUCAGUAGGUCCGUCAGGUUGGGAAGGGCGUAUGGGGGAUACGGAGAUAUUCGUUGGCGAAACAGAAACCAAGGUUGACAGGCCCAAGUGGGUGCAACGAGGAUUAACUUGGCUCCAUCUGUGUUGGCCUUCUCGAGGUCUCUGGGUACAAGUACGGUGGGGGGAAAUGCAUAGAGAACGGAUCCCCCCAGUUGAGGAGAAAGAAAUCUGGAACCAACGUUCGCCCUGGAGCAAUAGUAGUGGCUUUUCUUGUUUUCGUAGGUAGCGAAGAGGUCUAGGAGGGGAAAACUCCAGUGGUGGAAGACAUGGUGGAGGACAUCAUCGCGGAGCUCCCACUCGUAAUCCGAUGCAAAAUGUCUGCUCAGGGAGUUUGCAGCAACAUUGUUGACACCAGGUAAGUAAGAUGCCAUCAAAGUGAUGUUGUUUCGAAUGCACCCAUUCCAAAGGCGCAGUGCUUCUGCACAAAGGGAGUGAGAUCGUGCGCCGCCUUGACGAUUGAUAUAAUACAAUGUAGCAAUAGUGUCUGUAAGUACUCUCGCCAAUGGAUCGCAAAUGUAUUUGCGGAAGUGCUUGCAAGUGUUGAAGACUGCCCUGAGUUCCAGAAAGUUUGUAUGAAGAGAGGUCUCCCAUGGUGACCAUUGGUUCUGAACGGACAUAUCAUCCAUGUGGGCUCCCCAACCAAUGAGGGAAGCGUCAGUUGUGAUGUGGACAGAAGGCUAUGGUUGAUGAAACAGGACUCUGGACAGGAGAUUGUGCAAAUCGGUCUACCAUUUUAGGCAUUUGUGGACAUUGGCUGAAGGGGUCACUGCCCUGUGAACGUGUUGCUUUGUGGGAACAUAGAUGGACACUAUCCACCAUGCUGGACUACAUAUGUUGUUGCCGCAAUAUGGCCCAUUAGUUGUAGGCAGGUAAGUAUUUGAACCAUCAGACUAUUGGUUAGUACCGCAAUCAGGACUUGGAUAGUUUGGAACCUCUGGAUGGGUAGAUAAGCCCUUGCUGUGGUAAAACCUAAAUGAGCACUAAUGAAUUCUAAGGUCUGAGAUAGGUCGAGUACUGAUUUCUGGUAGUUGAUUAUUAGACGGCGGGAGAUGAAGGUUUGUCUGGUCAGUUAUCAUGCUGUCUGUCCAUCUUAGAAGAGGCUUUUCUCAGAGCAGAGGACGCCUCAGUCCUUUCUGGUGCCGGCGGUACUUGCAGAACCGAAGGUGCUGGCAGCGGCGCUGGAGUCGGUACCAACGGAGGCAACAGUGCCGUUUGGCAGAUGAGGCUGCUGAUGCUGAGGGUGCUCUCAGUUUCAUCUGCAGCCGUGCUGUUGGCACGAUGGGUGGUAUCUUUUUUGGUUUAGAGGUUGGAGCCGCCUUUAAAUGGGAAAGGCGGUGCCGGACGUGCCUGGCUUGUCCCCAGUGCUCACUGUGCUCUGUGAAAAGGAUGGCAGGGAGCGUGUUAGCGACGCCCAGGUCUUUCUGGGCAGAAUGGAGCCUGAUGAAGAGGCUCUCCAGCGGAAUGGAGCGGCUGGAUCUGAAAUAGCUAAGGACUUUGGGUCCGACAGCUAGAGUGCUUUAUCAAACAGGAUCAUCCAGAGACGCAUCUCUCUUUCCCAGCAGGCCCACACUGUUAAUUUUGAACAGUGAGGGAACUUUUGCGGUAUGUGAGUCUCGCCGAGGCAACAGAUACAUGAAGAAUGGCCAUCUGAGGUGGGCAUAGCUUCGCGACGUGUCACAAUUCUUAAAACCCGGGGAACCAGGCAUCUUGGGUUCAGAAGAAAGUCUGUCUUCUCCUCUUUCCUUUUUUUUUUGGGGGGGGGGGGGGAAGCCUGAAGGCCGGUAACAAUGCACAAAUUUUACUAACACUAAAUCUACACAACUAUUAUUUAUUUACAACUAACAACUAACUAAUUAACCAAUUAACUAUAACAAUUAUAAGAACUAAUUUACAGUGUAUAAGAUUUUCUGACUAAAAGAGGUUGAAGAGAAGAGUUCACUCUGCUACGCAAAACUCCGAUCUGCAGCACCAGGACGAGCUCGACUCCUACAGUGGAGCACUCACGGGGACAUCACUUGAAGAAAAAAAUG